GUCAGCAGCCGCGGUAAUACCCGCAGCCCGAGUGGUGGUCGAUUUAUGAGUCUAAAACGUUCGUAGCCGGUUUAGUAAUCUCUGGGUAAAUCGGAAGGCUUAACUUUCCGAAUUCCGGAGAGACUGCUAGGACUUGGGAUCGGGAGAGGUAAGAGGUACUUCAGGGGUAGGGGUAAAAUCCUGUAAUCCUUGGAGGACCACCGGUGGCGAAGGCGUCUUACUAGAACGAAUCCGACGGUGAGGGACGAAGCCCUAGGUCGCAAACGGGAUUAGAUACCCCGGUAGUCUAGGGUGUAAACGCUGCAGACUUGGUGUUGGGACCCUUCGUGGGUAUUCAGUGCCGGAGAGAAGUUGUUAAGUCUGCUACUUGGGGAGUACGUCCGCAAGGAUGAAACUUAAAGGAAUUGGCGGGGGAGCACCGCAACGGGGAAGGAGCGUGCGGUUUAAUUGGAUUCAACACCGGAAAACUCACCAGGGGAGACCAUCACAUGAAGGCCAGGCUGAUGACUUUGCCUGAUUCUUGGAGGAGAGGUGCAUGG
rnacentral:rRNA from 1 species